rnacentral:rRNA from 1 species
GACGAACGCUGGCGGCGUGCUUAACACAUGCAAGUCGAACGGAAAGGCCCUGCUUUUGUGGGGUGCUAGAGUGGCGAACGGGUGAGUAACACGUGAGUAACCUGCCCUUGACUUUGGGAUAACUUCAGGAAACUGGGGCUAAUACCGGAUAGGAGCUCCUGCUGCAUGGUGGGGGUUGGAAAGUUUCGGCGGUUGGGGAUGGACUCGCGGCUUAUCAGCUUGUUGGUGGGGUAGUGGCUUACCAAGGCUUUGACGGGUAGCCGGCCUGAGAGGGUGACCGGCCACAUUGGGACUGAGAUACGGCCCAGACUCCUACGGGAGGCAGCAGUGGGGAAUAUUGCACAAUGGGCGGAAGCCUGAUGCAGCAACGCCGUGUGCGGGAUGACGGCCUUCGGGUUGUAAACCGCUUUCGCCUGUGACGAAGCGUGAGUGACGGUAAUGGGUAAAGAAGCACCGGCUAACUACGUG